rnacentral:misc_RNA from 1 species
CUCUUCAUCAUCACUACCACCACCAAACAUGGUAGCCAUUUUCAUGGCCAGUUCUGCAGCCAUUUCUCUCCUUUGAAAAUCAGGCAUAAACCUCAAAUUGUCACGCAUAUUUCCAAUCUCAGACAUUAACUGCUCUAUGUCCUCAAAUUCAAAAGGUGUAACCUCAUAUGUUUCUGCGUCUUUGUUAGGAUCUGCUACUUUGGGCACCACUUCCUUAUCAUCCUGCAAUUCCACCAUUGAUGUUGAGGGCUGUAGCUCUUCAUUGUCAAACUUUACCCAAUUAUCUCGAUCAUGUUCUGUAGUAUGAUUAUUAUGAUCUACUGAUCCCCCUAUAUCCAAUACAGAACUACAACCAUUUGCAGAAACCCAUCCUCCAUUUGUGUCAUCCCAUGGUUCGGCUGAACUGACAGACAGAAGUUCAUACUCGAAUUCAUAAUCAGAUUCUUCUUCUGACAAGUCUUCUUUAUUAGGCAAUGCUGGCAGAAUUAUGCUCUUCCCAGAUUUUAGGAUCAUUCCAGGCCACAUAUACGCAGAAAGAGCACCAAAGAGACGUUCAACUCCUUGCGAAUCACCAUCAGUUGAUAAACAUCUGUCAAAAUCAGCAUUGGAGGCACACGCUUCAAUGUACUCAAUGUUAUACUCAGUGCACCAUUCAAGACAUGACUUCUUGAUCUCCACCGCAGGAUCCUCACCACCCAAAAGACUAUUUCCUUCAGUUUCAGAAAUCCCAAACUCA